GGCUGUGGGAGCAAUCUGUGUGGUACAUCUGUGACCCCGCUGGCUGCCAGGUGUCUGGAGACCUGUGCUCCAUCUCUCCGCCUCAUGCCAUGUGCCUCCCUCCUGAGGCUGUGGGCUGUGUCCAAGAGAAUGACCGUCCUCGACAGAGGAGGGCAGCUCUCCAGGAAAAGAAAUGGGAGGAACUUCCUUCUUCUGCUACAGGUUUAAAAUGCUGUGUGUGUGUGUGUGUGUGCACGUGUGUGUGUGCAUGCAUGCAUGUGUGUGUGCAUGCAUGCAUGUAUGUGUGUACAUCUUUAGUUAGUGAGACCACCGUAGGUGGUUUCAGGU
rnacentral:snRNA from 1 species